AAAAUACUUUGAUCAUUUAAAAUGGUGAAUGUCUCUGAAGAGUUUGUGAAGAUGUUAUUUUCUGUAAUUGUGAUGUUAAUUUGUCAUGCAGCAAGGUAUUACGAGAGAGAGGACGAGUACGAAGGCUAUGAACCAUACGACAAAUGUAAGUAUUAGAUAUGCAUAUUAAGCUCAAACAUAUUUAAAGUUGAAACUCUGACUGUGUCUUGACUGAAAAAAAAUAACAUUACGAACUGCAAACAGUAAUUGCUCAUAUUUUAACAUAAGUGUCAUUAUUGGUAGGAUUGACUCAUUUUAUAAUCACGCAUGAUAUCUCCUUAUUUUCAUAUGUAUUCUUUUGAAAAACUAUUAUGUUUGUUUAAAAAAAAGCUACGCAAUUUGUAUUUAAUUAACAUUACAAUAUUACAUAUUGCGAUGUUUUCUGCAUUUGUAGACAAAUGUUCUACUUUGUCGCACAUCGACAUAAUAUUCUUACGAAACAGCAUUUAGAAAUUAUGAAAUAUAGCAAACAUAUAAUGUUUUAGAAUUUUUUUUUCAUCAAAUUUAUCAAAGAUAGUUAAAAAAAUUCUGUCACAUAAUGUGGAACUAUUAUCAUUUUUUUGUGACAGCAAUAUCGUGAAAACAAUUAUUCUUAUAAAGUAAAGUUAAACCAAGUUACCGGUAAUUAUUUUCAAGACUUUUAUUCACCCAAAAUCGAUAUGUGGUGGAAGAUACCGUAGAAUCUGCGUCUUCAACCAUUUGUUAAGUUACCGUCUUUGUGAUUGUCUCCGAUGGCUAUACACUACAAUGUGUUUUGCAAUGAAAAACAGUAGAUUUUGAUCCGUGUUAUAAUUGCGAUUUUCGUAUCGAUAUAUCUGGUAAUAGGGUGUCCUAUAGAGUUAUAAGUAAGAUUCCAAAGCUCGGUGUGUCUGGCAAACGUUACCAUUUAUGGGCAACAUGCAUAAUACAAUUAGUAUUUAUUAUAAACAAGAAAUUCAUUAAGAAGAUUUACAAGGAAAAAACAUAUAUUGGUAACAAGAUAACUUGGUAGAAUUAGAAAAUUAAAUUAAUUGCUCAUUCAUGGAUCUCUUAAACAGGAUGAUGCUUGAAACAUUAAUAAUGUACAUGUAUAGAUAAUAGUAAAAUAUAGAAAUAUGACAUUUUAUUCAUUUCUAUUUACAGAAGAUUUACCUGAAAGAAAAACGAAAGAUGCUUACAAUUGAAGGAUGAUCGAAAGAAAUCUGUAUAUCAUUAGCAAAUCCAAC
rnacentral:lncRNA from 1 species